rnacentral:rRNA from 1 species
CCUACGGGGGGCAGCAGUGGGGAAUAUUGGACAAUGGGCGAAAGCCUGAUCCAGCCAUGCCGCGUGUGUGAAGAAGGCCUUCGGGUUGUAAAGCACUUUCAGUGGGGAAGAAAGCCUUGGGGCUAAUACCCUCGAGGAAGGACAUCACCCACAGAAGAAGCACCGGCUAACUCCGUGCCAGCAGCCGCGGUAAUACGGAGGGUGCGAGCGUUAAUCGGAAUUACUGGGCGUAAAGCGCGCGUAGGCGGUCUGAUAAGUCGGUUGUGAAAGCCCCGGGCUCAACCUGGGAACGGCAUCCGGAACUGUCAGGCUAGAGUGCAGGAGAGGAAGGUAGAAUUCCCGGUGUAGCGGUGAAAUGCGUAGAGAUCGGGAGGAAUACCAGUGGCGAAGGCGGCCUUCUGGACUGACACUGACGCUGAGGUGCGAAAGCGUGGGUAGCAAACAGGAUUAGAUACCCCUGUAGUC